rnacentral:rRNA from 1 species
CGCGGCCUAUCAGCUUGUUGGUGGGGUAAUGGCCUACCAAGGCGACGACGGGUAGCCGGCCUGAGAGGGCGACCGGCCACACUGGGACUGAGACACGGCCCAGACUCCUACGGGAGGCAGCAGUGGGGAAUAUUGCACAAUGGGCGAAAGCCUGAUGCAGCGACGCCGCGUGAGGGAUGACGGCCUUCGGGUUGUAAACCUCUUUCACCAGGGACGAAGCUAACGUGACGGUACCUGGAGAAGAAGCACCGGCUAACUACGUGCCAGCAGCCGCGGUAAUACGUAGGGUGCGAGCGUUGUCCGGAAUUAUUGGGCGUAAAGAGCUUGUAGGCGGUUUGUCGCGUCUGCUGUGAAAGACCGGGGCUUAACUCCGGUUCUGCAGUGGGUACGGGCAGACUAGAGUAUGGUAGGGGAGACUGGAAUUCCUGGUGUAGCGGUGAAAUGCGCAGAUAUCAGGAGGAACACCGAUGGCGAAGGCAGGUCUCUGGGCCAUUACUGACGCUGAGAAGCGAAAGCAUGGGGAGCGAACAGGAUUAGAUACCCUGGUAGUCCAUGCCGUAAACGUUGGGCGCUAGGUGUGGGGCUCAUUCCACGAGUUCCGUGCCGCAGCUAACGUAUUAAGCGCCCCGCCUGGGGAGUACGG